rnacentral:rRNA from 1 species
GUAGGGAAUAUUGCACAAUGGAGGAAACUCUGAUGCAGCGACGCCGCGUGAGUGAUGAAGGCCUUCGGGUCGUAAAACUCUGUGAUAAGGGAAGAUGAUGACGGUACCUUAUCAGAAAAGACCGGCUAACUUCGUGCCAGCAGCCGCGGUAAUACGAGGGGUCUAAGCGUUGUUCGGAAUCACUGGGCGUAAAGCGGGUGUAGGUGGCUAUGCAAGUUGGAUGUGAAAGCCCCGGGCUCAACCCGGGAAGUGCAUCCAAAACUACGUAGCUUGAGUGCGGGAGAGAAAGGCAGAAUUCCUGGUGUAGUGGUGAAAUACGUAGAUAUCAGGAGGAACUCCGGUGGCGAAGGCGGCCUUUUGGCCCAGCACUGACACUCAGACCCGAAAGCGUGGGUAGCAAACAGGAUUAGAAACCCGUGUAGUCC